UUGUUAGGGAAGGGCAUUUUAGGCACUACAAUUUUCUAAACAGUAAAAAAUCAUGUGCCACCUCAGCAAUCCAUUUUAGAGAAAUAUGGAACUUUGACUACGUCUCUAAGUAAAUAUGAAACUUUUAACUCCAUUUAUAUGUAAUUUUUCCUUUUUUAUUUUUAUUAUUCAUUUUUCUUUUUUCAUUUUUCAUUUUUCAUUUUCCAAUCGCUCCUCACUCUCUCUCUCUUUAGCUCAACUCAGGCUCUCUCUCGUAGCUCCUCGCUUUCUCUCUCUCUACCCCCAAUCCUCUCUCUCUCUAGCUCGACUUAGGCUCUCUCUGGUCGCUCCUCGCUCUUUGCUCUUCAAUUGAGAGCUUGAUUACAUUUGAUCUCCCAAAAUUAUACUGCGAACAUAGUCCAACGAUCAUCGGUUGUGGUAUUUGAGCAUAUAUUUGGUUGUGCUAUUUGAUUUGGGAGCCAAAUCUAUAUCUGAUUUGCCAAAAUAGGCCAACGAUCAUCGCCGUUAUCUCCAUUUUUUUUUCCACUCGCAGAGUGAGCGAAGAAUACGUUGAAGGAGUUGGAAACUUUUUGGAUUUUGCAUUUUCUAAUGCAGCUAAAGAGGGGAUGAUCUUAUGUCCAUGCACUAAGUGUAGCAAUUGCGCGCUUUUGGAAGAAUCGUCAAGAAGUAUUAAAUCAUGUUAUUGCAGAUGGAUUUCUUAAUAAUUACACAUGUUGGGUGUUCUAUGGGGAGAGAAUCUCUUUAAGAGAUGUUAAUAAAAUAAUAGAGCAUGAGGACUUAGACCUAUAAGAUUACAUACAAGGGAUGUUGCAUGAUGCAUUUGGAGUUAGAAGUCCUAAUGAUGAGGUGGAUGAUCUGAUGUAUGAAGUACCGAGAGACCCAAUUUAGAUGUUAUGAAGUUUUUCAAGUUGGUAGAAGAUGUUGAAAUGGAAUUGUACUCGGGAUGUAAAUAGUUCACAAAGCUCUCUUUUAUUGUUCGGUUGUUUCAUAUAAAUUGUCUUGGUGGAUGGACCAACAAGUCAUUCACAAUGUUACUUGAGCUGUCGAAAGAAGCAUUUCCAGAGGGUAAAAGAUUACUAAAGUCUUUUUAUGAGACCAAAAAGAUUAUUGGAGAUUUAGGCUUAGAUUAUAAAAAAAUUGAUGCUUGUCCUAAUGAUUGCAUGUUAUAUUGGAAGAAGAUAGCCAAUCAUGAUUCUUUUGCAACAUGCGAUACUUCUAGAUGGAAAACAUUUUCUGAUGAUGAGGCAUCAUCUUCCUUCGAUAAGGUUAGAAAAGUUCCUGCCAUGGUGCUACGUCACUUUCCUUUAAUACCAAGGCUUCAAAGGUUGUUCAUGUCAUCAAAAGCAGAUAGUGAAAUGAGAUGGCAUGCCGAAGGGCAUAUAGAUGAUGGGAUCCUUAAGCACCCUGCUGAUUCUAGUGCAUGGAAAACUUUUGACUAUGAGCACCCUGACUUCUCUAAUGACAUUCGAAACGUUAAACUUGGGUUGUCAACUGACGGAUUCAAUCCCUUUAAGACCAUGAGCACAUCCCACAGCACGUGGCCUGUUAUUCUGAUCCCAUACAACAUGUCCCGGAAGAUCUGUAUGAAGCAACCAAAUUUCAUUAUGUCACUACUCAUUCUAGGACCUCGAGGGCUAGAAAUUGAUAUUAAUGUGUAUUUACAACUUUGAUAGAAGAGUUAAAGGAAUUAUGGGACGUUGGUGUGGACACAUUUGAUGCAGUAAGUAAUGCCAUGUUUAAAAUGAAAACAGCAGUCUUUUGGACUAUUAGUGAUUUUCCAGCAUCUACAGACUUGUCUGGGUGGGGAACUAAGGGCAAAUUGGCAUAUCCACCUUGUAACAAGGACAAGUUUUCUAUGGUUGGAAAUUUGUCAUAAAUUUUGUUAUUUGGGUGAUCGUCGGUUCUUUGAUUCUAAUCAUAGGUUUCGGAAGGAUAUACAAUACUUUGAUGGUACACAAGAAUGGAGAGAUCCUCCUAAUUUGAUUCGUUGGAUUGGUGUGUUAAAACAAUUACAAGGUCAAAACAUCAUAUAUUGUAAGCCAAAUCGUGACAGGGAUGGCGAUAGUAGCAAAGGGGGUGAAAGAAAAAAUAUCAUAUAAAAUUAGAAAAAAAAAAGGAGCAUCUUUUUUGAGUUAGUAUUGGAAGUCUAAUUUGAUUCGCCACAAUUUGGAUGUAAUGCAUACAGAAAAGAAUGUAUGUGAAAGUUUGGUUGGAACACUUCUGAAUAUAGAAGGAAAAACUAAAGAUCAUCUCGAGGCUCAUCUUGACUUACAAUAUAUUGGCAUAUGACCAUCUCUCUACCCAGUUCAGCAAGGAGGGAACAAGACAUUUGCAUCCUGCAUGUUUCUCUUUGUCUCGAGAAGAGAAACGAAUGUUUUGUACCAUUUUGAAGCAUGUUAAGGUCCCAAAUAGAUAUGCAUCAAAUAUUUCAUGAUGUGUGCAUCUCAAGGAUUAUAAAAUAUCGGGACUCAAGAGUCACAAUUGUCAUAUUUUGACGCAACAAUUACUUCCUUUGGCUAUACGAAGGUUUUACCCAAGAAUGUGGCUGUAAGUUUGAUUGAAUAUUGUCGGCUAUUUAGGGAGUUAUAUUCAAAAGUUGCACAUCCUAAGGAUUUCGAGAAGUUAGAAGCUUGAUUUGCACUAGUACUUUGUCACUUGGAGAGGAUUUUUCCACCCUUUUUUUUUGACAUAAUGGUGCAUUUGACCGUUCAUGUAUCAGAGGAGGCAAGACUUGGUGGACCUGUACACCAUCGAAAUAUGUAUCCCAUUGAGAGGUUAUUGGAUUUGGUUUUGUUGCAUUAUAUAUAUAUAUAUAUAUAUAUUGUAGCAUAUGAUGGAUGGUGUGAUGAGAAGGAAGGGAGCAGCAACUGAAAUAGGAAAAGAAAGAAAGAAAUGGUUGAUUGCGGAUCCCACAAAAAGAUAUUUAAUGGGUUGAUAUAUUACAUUGAAUAUAUAUAUAUCUAGUCAAUACUGUCGGAUGAAGAAGGAAGCAGGCAGCCAACAUUAGAAGGAUAAAAAGGAAGUGAUUUGAUGAUGAAUAUUGUGAUAGAUAGUGGCGGGACCCACUUGGAGAAUUACUUAGGCAAAUUUCCUUUGGCAUUGUGCACACGUGGGUUUGUUAAGUGAUAAUGCAAUCUGAUGAAAGAAAGAUAAGGAAGAAAUAUGAAGAUAGGAAUUAAGGAAAAGUGGUGGCGGGUCCCAUUGUUGACUUUUUGAUAUUUGCAUGUGAACUGUUGUUUGUUAUGUUGGAACAAAUUGCUUGUUGUGAACUGAGUUAAUGGAUACAGAAGAAAUAUAGAGGAAAUACAGUGAGAGAGAGAGAGAGAUGGACAGACACAGUGUGAAUGUUUGAUGCCUAGAUAAUUAUUUAUUUUUUAGUAAAAUACGAGGCAUAAUAAGAAAGCCAAAAGUAUUAAGGGUGUCAUGACUAGUGGGGCACAACAGUCACUUCAGCAACAGCGGAUUCAUCAGGAGCAUAGCAAUACUAAUACUAUCAGUCGUUUUAAGCAAAAAUAUGCUCACACAGUAGGGUCAAAAAGCUUUGCGCGAAUACGCGAGGAAGAGGAUAACGUAAGAAGAGGCCUAAUGAAGGGGAACCAACUCGGAUAGAGAUGUAUAUACUAAUGCACACGCAGAAGAAUGGACGACCAAUGGAUGGAGCAUCUGUAGAAAUUAUUAAUAAGCUUAAAGAAUAUGCAACUUAGCAACCAGAAACUUCACAACGCCGUCCUACUAAAGAUGACAUCUUUUCCCAAGUAGUUAACGAAGAUAGACAUGGCCUGGUUAGCACGUAUGGCUUGGGUUCCUCUCCGUUAGAUCUUUGGGGCACAACACCUAGUCAAGUGAAGUCAAUGAAGAUGGCUUCAGAGGCUAAAAGGUCUUGUGAAGCAGAAGUACAUGAUUUAAAAGAAGUGCAAAAAAUGAAGCAACUAAUAAUUGGAUUGCAGGGCCGGAUGGAUGCUAGAGAUAACCAAAAUCAAACGGCUGCACAUACUAAACAAUAUACCACUCGAACUGCCCCCACCAAUACUCAACAAGUAACUUCAUAGCAAAAUGAUAAAUUUCAAAAGCUUCCUUAUCUUUUUACCAUUUAUAACAAUUUUUCCUAUAUAUGCCAAAGGCCUUGUUAUAUGGUUUAAUAACACCCUUAAUUUAGUGAAUGAUGGAAAUUUUUAGGUACCAGACCUGGAGCUGUUUUGAAUAAACACACUAAUCACUCUUCUGCCAGAGAUUAGCACUAUUGUUUUUUAAGUAUCCAUUCUUUUGAAAUUUUUUAUUUUCUCAUUGUUCUGGUUUUUAUAUAGAGAAAUGAUAGGUUUUUGGACCUCAAUUGCCUCCUCCUCUUCCGAGUACAACGUGGUUGGGAAUGAGUCGAAUUUUACGGGAUUAUUUUUUAAGAGUUCCAACGUGAUUCAACCACAUUGUAUUUGGAGGAAGAGUCGGCAAUUAAGGUCAGAAGACCUAUCAUUUCUCUUUUUUAUAUAUGUUGCUCUUUUUGGGAGGGAAUUUUUCUUUUACUUUAUGGCUUUUCUAAGUUUGACUUUUUAAAAUUUUUUUAAUAAGAUGUUGUAUCUUGAUAUAUUGUUAAAUCUUAACUACAAAUCUGCUAAUUGCUAACUGGAGUAUAAAUGGGGGUGGGGGUAAUAACAUUGUUUUAGAUGAAUAAAAUUUACAAAACUGCUAAUUGCUAACUGGAGUCUAAAUAAGGGUGGGGUGCUUACUGCUAACACUAACACUGUUAAAGAUAAAUAAAAUAUAGUAAACUGUUAAUACGUCAUCCUAGGAAAGUUGUUUGAACAGUAAUUAAUUGAGCCUCUUUCUCAUUUUUUUUUUUUUUUAAGGGCCAGACAGAUGGUGGGUAUAACCCAUACCAACAAACUGCUCCAACUCAGCAAUUUGUUGCUCGUUCUUAGCCUAUGAAAAGACAGCAAGUAAUGAAAACCUCCGAUAUAAUAAAGCAAUGGAUAAUGCUCUUCACUGAUGUACAUUAUUAUCCAUCAAUUGUCAUAAUGCAUUAGGGCUUCAAACAAAAAUAAAACAACUAAGAAUUAGAAUGUAGGUCCAGAUGGAUGGUAGAGAUAACGAAAACCAACCCGCUGCUUAUAAUGAACAAUAUUCAUAUACCACUCAAACUGAGCCUAUCAAUACUCGUCAGGUAACUUCAUAGUAAAAUGAUAAAUUUCAAAAGUUUUCUUAUCUUUUUAUCAUUUAAUUGAACCUCAUUUUUGGGUAAGGCCGGAUGGAUAGUGGGUAUAACCCACACCAACAAACUGCUCCAACUAAACAAUUUGUUGCUCGUUCUCAACCAAUAAAAAGACGACAGGUAAUCAUUCUAUCCCAUUCUAAUCUACCUCGCCAAGUCUAUCUCAUUAUAAUCUACCUCUCCUUAAUGGAUAUAUCUAACGUGAAAUGCAUUUGAUUUAUCUUGAAUUAUUUUUAUUAACUUGAAUUUUUUUUUUGUUUUAAUAGGGCAUGAGUGAAGUUUUUUUUGUCAAGUCUCAGAAAGCCCGAUGUCAUAGUAGCUCGAGGAAUGCUUUUGAAUAAGAACUCGUUCAAAAGUAAAGGCCAUUGAAUUGGGACAUCAUAAUUGGGAGUAAGUGUUACCAUUCCAAUCAUGCCAGAAGAACCAUUACCUAUUGCUUCUACACGUUUCAAAACCAUUAGAGAUACAGCUGGAGCUAGUGUUUCUUGGCCUUCUGCUUAUUGAAGUGUGGGAUUCUUACUUAUUGCAAUGGCACUUUGAUUAUCACACUAGAGCUUAGGAGGACCUGGGAAUUGAAGACUAAGAUCUACAAGAGUAGUGUGCAUUCAAAGAAGUUAGGAACCAGCCUGAGAAACAGCUAUGUAUUCAGCUUUUGAUGUAGAUAAAGAGACAGUAUCGUACUUCUUGCUUAACCAAGAGACUAAGUUGGAACCAAGAAGAUAGCAACAUCCUGAUGUACUUUUUCUGUCAGGUAAGGACCCACCCCAAUCAGCAUUUGAAAAGGCUGUAAUAGACAAUGUGGGUGAGAAAAGAUAAAGUAGACCAUAGGAGAUGGUACCCUUAACAUAUCUAAGAAUCCUUGUAGCAGUUUGAAGAUGAGAGAUUCUUGGAUUGCUCUGAAAUCUUGUUACAAAGCCCACAGAAUACAUAAUAUCAGGUCUUGAAGAUGUGAGAUACAAUAAACUUCCAAUGAUAGACGUAUAAAGAGUAGAAGGGACAGAUUAUGUGGUACACUCAAGAGAGAGCUUGGUAUUUGUAAUACCCCCAUUUCUCAAAAGGAUAUUAUUGGAUUUUAAUUAUUGUUUUAUGUGCAUUUUAAUUGAUUAUUUGUUUUAUGUACAUUUAAAUGUUUAAUAUCUAGCUAUAUGUUUAAUUGUAAUUGUUUAUUUAGUUUAAAUUCAUUGUUUAAUUUAAUUGGUGUUUAAGUGACGUGUUUUAUUUAAUGGCUUGUGUGACUUAGUUAGUUUAUAUUUUGUAGGUGUCAUAUAUAGUUUAGGGUUUUAAUUUAUGUAAUUAGGUUAUCCAUCUUAUAAUUAGGUUGGGAAUUAAAAUUAGGUUUUAAGUAAAUGCCUAUAUAUAUUGAAUGGUAUACGUCGGCUAGGGUUGGAAAAUAAACCCUAUUCAUGUAAGGGUUCUUGAGAGAGAACAGAGAGAGGCUUGAGUGAAACAUAUAGAGGCUCAAGGAAUUAUUGAAGGGAGUUACUGGUGGGUUGAACCAAGAAGUAACAGAGGAAUGGAACAGUGAUCAGAGGAGGAGAAUUACUUGGGGUUGCCGGAACUUAGAGACGACGUUGAAAGGUUUCAAACUGAAACCUAAAGGCAAGUUCUAUUUCUAUUUCCUUCCCUUAAACCUGUGUUUUGUGCAUGCCUAGGUAGUCUCCAGGAACUUUAAGUUAUUAAAAAUUAACCAUAUAUGCAUGGUAAAACUUGAAUUAUAGUAUGUUAAUUGUAUGUGUAUAUGUUUGAAUUUUAUUUAAAGUUUAUUGCAUAAGUUGUGAUUUUAACUUGUUUAAAUUAUACAUAAGAGGUUUACAUAAUGUUUAGGGUUGUUCUGGACUUAAAACAGUAGUUUUAGGACCUUAACGGAGGAAGACGUAGUCGCCGGAGCCGUGGAAGACGAAAUGUCACAGUUCGGUCGACCGAUUUAGUGCACACGUCGACCGGUUUGCAUGAACCAGUCAACACCGUGGUAAUUCGGUCGACUGGUUGGUUGAAACCGGUUGAAACCUUGGGGGAAAAACGUUAACUGGUUAUUAAACCAGUUGACAUCUAUGAUGAAUCAGUUGACAUCGUUUAGAUUCAGUGGAUUUUUGCAAACCAGUUGACAUCUAGGGAUUUUACAUCAAUCGGUUUAGGCGAACCAGUCAACAUCUAGAAUUUUACAUCAACCGGUUUAGGCAAACCAGUCAACACUUGGGAUUUUACAUCAACUGGUUCAUGGAAUCGUCAUAUAGGUUGUCCAGUGUUGGAUUUUGGCACUGGAGUUGGUUUCUAGGGAUGGUUGGGCCUGGUUAAAUAAUUUUAAUGAAUUUCUAGGACCCGACAAUUAACUGGAAUGCAUAAUAUAAAAUAGUAUGCUAGGUUUGGGAUAAAAUUAAUAUAAUGGUUAGUUUAUGGAUAUUGUUUUACACUAUUUUAAAUCAACCAACUGAAUUGAAAUAGUUUAAUCAUGCUCUGGAUGUUUUACAGUCUAUUUGAGAUGCCUGUUAAUUUCUUAUUCUGUAAUUAAAUACGUACUACUUAGAACUGUUUUAUUGUUUAGAUUAAAUGUAAUAAUUGAAUAUAUGAUAUUAUUCAUGAUAUUCUGCACUAUUUGAUGUACCGUUUUAUAUUUGUACGUCAUGGAUUAGAUUAAUGUGCUCAGUUUAUAUUUCUGAUUAGCAUUAUGUCAUGUCUCGGAUUCAAGGAGUGUCACACUUACUUUGGGUUAUAAUUGCUGAGAUAUUAAACUAUAAUCUACAAUUACAUGGAUUACGGUUUUGGAAUUUAAUUGCUGAAAUAUUAAACUUGAUUCUACAAUUACUUGGAUUAUUGAUUUGGACUUCAAUUGCUGGACUAUUAAAUUAUGUCUGUCAAUUACAUGGACAUUAUGCUGGAUUUUAAUUGAUGAACCAUAAAAUACUAGUGUUAUCAAUUAUAUGGAUAUUGGGGAUGUAUUUGAUGUUCAAUUGAAUGUGCAUCAUUUAUAGAUCAUUUGCAUUAUAUACACCGGUAUGGGACGAUGACAUAUUGGAAAUGGAUUAGAUCAAAAAGCUAAGUCCUACUUUUUCAUACAUACGGAAUGGAUUAACUAAAACAGUUAAAUCCUACAUGAAUGCAUGUCCUGUCAACUAAUGUUAUCAAUUAUAUGGAUAUUGGGGAUGUAUUUGAUGUUCAAUUGAAUGUGCAUCAUUUAUAGAUCAUUUGCAUUAUAUACACCGGUAUGGGACGAUGACAUAUUGGAAAUGGAUUAGAUCAAAAAGCUAAGUCCUACUUUUUCAUACAUACGGAAUGGAUUAACUAAAACAGUUAAAUCCUACAUGAAUGCAUGUCCUGUCAACUAAAACAGUUGAACGACAUAACAGAUGGUUGUUCUACUUUUUUGUAUUAGGAAGGAAAUGAAUUAUGAAUACAAAAUCUUAUUUAUUUUUAGUCUGUGCAGUUGAACAAGCUGAACGACUAACUGGAUUUCUUACGGAU